rnacentral:rRNA from 1 species
UACGUAGGGGGCAAGCGUUGUCCGGAAUCAUUGGGCGUAAAGAGCGUGUAGGCGGCCUGGUAAGUCCGCUGUGAAAGUCCAGGGCUCAACCCUGGAAUGCCGGUGGAAACUGUCAGGCUCGAGUCCGGAAGAGGCGAGUGGAAUUCCUGGUGUAGCGGUGAAAUGCGCAGAUAUCAGGAGGAACACCGGUGGCGAAGGCGCUGCUCUGGGCCGGUACUGACGUGAGGUGCGAAAGCGUGGGGAGCAAACAGG